CGUGGUAACCUGCCAAGAGACUGGGAUAACACCUGGAAACAGAUGCUAAUACCGGAUAACAACACUAGACGCAUGUCUAGAGUUUAAAAAGAUGGUUCUGCUAUCACUCUUGGAUGGGACCUGCGGGUGCAUUAGCUAGUUGGUAAGGUAACGGCUUACCAAGGCAAUGAUGCAUAGCCGAGUUGAGAGACUGAUCGGCCACAUUGGGACUGAGACACGGCCCAAACUCCUACGGGAGGCAGCAG
rnacentral:rRNA from 1 species